UUGUCAUCCAAGUGUGAUUUUCUCUCCGAAAGGCAGCCGGUCCAUCUGAAAGUCAGAGGCAGAGGAGACAACAAACCCCAGCAGAACAGGGCCGAUGGUGAUGACUUCUGCUCAUGCUGUGGAUUCUGAUCAAGUGCUUGAGAGAAAAUGAAAAGCUCUUCUAGAUCAGCGCCAUCUAGAGACAUACUUCAGACUGCAGCGCUUGAAAGAUGUGAUGUCCUAUCAGCAUGCUACAUUAAUGAGGGGAAAAAUUCAAAGACAAAGACAAGGGAUGAAGCUCUAUGAUUCCAGACCUAGAGAAGGACAUAGAGAAUAGAAGCUUGUCAGCCUUCAGAGGGCCACCAGAUCAAUCCUCACACAUGAUGAUGCAUACCUGAGGUGUCUGCCUAAAACACGCUACUAUCUGGUGAGGCCAGCAUUAUAUCCUGCUUUCUCUCUCCGUAGAUAUUUACUUGGACUUUAAGUGAUUAGACUUUAAAUGAUUAAAAUGCACAUUAUUAA
ensembl:lncRNA